rnacentral:lncRNA from 1 species
GCGACCUAUCGCCUCCUCGAUCGACAUCCUGGAGAGGUCCAGUAGAGACUCGAUCGAGCGAGCGAUCUGCUUGUACUUCUCGGGUACGCAGCGGAGGAGCUUCUCGACAGCUCUCUCCUCGCCGUAGGUGUCGUCGCCGUACUGCACCAUCUUCUGCAACAGAGUGUUGAGACGGAGAGCAAAGUCAUCAACGUCCUCACCUGGCUUGA